rnacentral:tRNA from 1 species
GCCGGCGUAGCUCAGUUGGUAGAGCAGGGGUUUUGUAAACCUCUGGUCGGGGGUUCAAGUCCUCUCGCCGGCUCCA